rnacentral:rRNA from 1 species
UACGUAGGCAGCGAGCGUUGUUCGGAAUUACUGGGCGUAAAGGGUGUGUAGGCGGUUCUUUAAGUUUGGUGUGAAAUCUCCCGGCUCAACCGGGAGGGUGCGCCGAAUACUGAGGGACUAGAGUGUGGGAGAGGAAAGUGGAAUUCCUGGUGUAGCGGUGAAAUGCGUAGAUAUCAGGAGGAACACCGGUGGUGUAGACGGCUUUCUGGACCAUAACUGACGCUGAGACACGAAAGCGUGGGUAGCAAACAGG